rnacentral:lncRNA from 1 species
CUCGUCCUCAGAAUCUUCUCUCUCGCAAGAUCUAUGGGAGGAAUACAUUGAUCUGAUCAUGUAGUGCAUGUGCAAUGAUACCUGUGAAAUAGAAGUCGUUUUCUGGGGGGAGCUCCAUCGUCGGGAAGAGGGGUCAUGGCUCACCACGGACAAAAGGUAGUUUAUGAUCAAGCUGGUGUGGGAGGCUCACCACGGACAAAAGGAUUUUGACAGCUGUUGUCAACGAAGGCGAGAAUGGUGUACUCUAAGCUCAGCAAUUUCCAGAAAAAAUCGUUAACUUGCAAGUUAGUUUCAAUAUUUCUAGCAUAUUCCAAUCACAGCAUCGUCCAGCGCACACCCAUCCAAUUUAGGGGCUUCUUGUUGUGCUCUCAGGCCCCAGUCGAAAAGCAAGGUCCUGUCAUCACAAACUCCUAGCAAAUUUAGCGAUAUGUCAUGAGAACAAGACAGGACAACAUUACAGCCUCAGAGGUAAUAACCUUCGUUUUCUAUUUGCUUCAGCCAACUUGAUUUACCAGCUUAUCUUCUUCCACUUUCUGCCCAUUUCCUAUUGAUUCAGUCCUUCUACUCAGCUUUGGAGGUUGUCUGUUUACAAAUACGGAAUUGUCCCCAAUACUGUUUUUAUGAUGUUAACACCAUGAACCGAGUAGCAGUUUAUGCCCAUGAGAAUGCUUCAAUGCCCCAUUUGGGUCUUGUGGGCAAAUGAUCGGAUGGUGCAUAACUUCGAUGUAGCUUAUUUGAUCAGCUUAUAAUGGAACGAUGGGAAGACUUUGA